CGAGUAGGUCAGACAAUCGCGGGCAAAGAGAUUUGCGUGAGGAAAGUCCGGGCUCCACAGAGCAAGGGUGCCGGCUAACGGCCGGUGAGGGCGACCUUAAGGAUAGUGCAACAGAAAAUAAAUGCCUUUUUAAAGGCGAUUGUGGAAAUGUGCGGUAAGAGCGCACAGCGGGUGCAGGUAACUGCAUCGGCGUGUAAACCCCACCCGGAGCAACAUUCGACAGUGCAACUAAGUCUGCUCGGCGCUGCACGAAGGAAUGGCUUGAGCUGCGCAGCAAUGCGCCGCCACAGAUAGAUGAUUGUCCGAUACAGAACCCGGCUUACAGACCUGCUCGAUAU
rnacentral:RNase_P_RNA from 1 species